AUGCGUCGUCCCGGCAACGCAUUGCGUAGCCACCGACCUCCUCUGGUUGGGCCACACCACCACGGGCUGGUCCACAAUGGUUGCUGGCAGCCGUCCAAGUUGAGAGCUGAUGGUAGUCCUCUACAUGCGUCAACGAAAAAUAGAGCCUUUUCUCUUCUCAAUACACAGCACAGAAGGUAUUUGUCUCCAACUUGCAUUAAGAGUUCAAAGUACACAGAGGAAAAAGGUUCAAUUUUCAAAACUUUAAGAGUUCAAAGUACACAAGAACAUAAGUCCACUAUGCUUUGUGUCAGCUAUCUGAUAUUUGUGAGGGGAACUUCAAUUUUCUUUAGUUCAACUUUUGAAUGUGUUCCAGUUCGUCUACUUCCUAGUCGUCCUGUGUCAAUCAAAAAAAGCAGUAGUUUAGCACGAAAAAUAGAGAUUUUUCUCUUCUCAGUACACAUCACAAAAGGUAUUUGUCUCCAACUUGCAUUAAGAGUUCAAAGUACACAGAGGAAAAAGGUUCAAUUUUCAAAACCUUAA
rnacentral:rRNA from 1 species